CGGGGCCUACACAUGCAAGUCGAGCGAGCUCUUCGGAGCUAGCGGCGGACGGGUUAGUAACGCGUGGGAACGUGCCCUUCACUGCGGAAUAGCCACUGGAAACGGUGAGUAAUACCGCAUACGCCCUUCGGGGGAAAGAUUUAUCGGUGAAGGAUCGGCCCGCGUUAGAUUAGAUAGUUGGUGGGGUAACGGCCUACCAAGUCUACGAUCUAUAGCUGGUUUUAGAGGAUGAUCAGCAACACUGGGACUGAGACACGGCCCAGACUCCUACGGGAGGCAGCAGUGGGGAAUCUUGGACAAUGGGCGCAAGCCUGAUCCAGCCAUGCCGCGUGAGUGAUGAAGGCCUUAGGGUCGUAAAGCUCUUUCGCCAGAGAUGAUAAUGACAGUAUCUGGUAAAGAAACCCCGGCUAACUCCGUGCCAGCAGCCGCGGUAAUACGGAGGGGGUUAGCGUUGUUCGGAAUUACUGGGCGUAAAGCGCACGUAGGCGGAUCAGAAAGUUGGGGGUGAAAUCCCGGGGCUCAACCCCGGAACUGCCUCCAAAACUCCUGGUCUUGAGUUCGAGAGAGGUGAGUGGAAUUCCGAGUGUAGAGGUGAAAUUCGUAGAUAUUCGGAGGAACACCAGUGGCGAAGGCGGCUCACUGGCUCGAUACUGACGCUGAGGUGCGAAAGUGUGGGGAGCAAACAGGAUUAGAUACCCUGGUAGU
rnacentral:rRNA from 1 species